AGCGAACGCUGGCGGCAGGCUUAACACAUGCAAGUCGAGCGCCCCGCAAGGGGAGCGGCAGAUGGGAGAGUAACACGUGGGAACAUACCUUUUGGUUCGGAACAACUGAGGGAAACUUCAGCUAAUACCGGAUAAGCCCUUACGGGGAAAGAUUUAUCGCCGAAAGAUUGGCCCGCGUCUGAUUAGCUAGUUGGUGAGGUAACGGCUCACCAAGGCGACGAUCAGUAGCUGGUCUGAGAGGAUGAUCAGCCUCACUGGGACUGAGACACGGCCCAGACUCCUACGGGAGGCAGCAGUGGGGAAUAUUGGACAAUGGGGGCAACCCUGAUCCAGCCAUGCCGCGUGAGUGAUGAAGGCCUUAGGGUUGUAAAGCUCUUUUGCCCGGGAAGAUAAUGACGGUACCGGGAGAAUAAGCCCCGGCUAACUUCGUG
rnacentral:rRNA from 1 species